AACGAACGCUGGCGGCAGGCUUAACACAUGCAAGUCGAACGGGCAUAGCAAUAUGUCAGUGGCAGACGGGUGAGUAACACGUGGGAACCUUCCUAGAGGUACGGAACAACGCAGGGAAACUUGUGCUAAUACCGUAUACGCUCGAGAGAGGAAAGAUUUAUCGCCUUUAGACGGGCACGCGUAGGAUUAGGUAGUUGGUGAGGUAACGGCUCACCAAGCCUACGAUCCUUAGCUGAUCUGAGAGGAUGAUCAGCCACACUGGGACUGAGACACGGCCCAGACUCCUACGGGAGGCAGCAGUGGGGAAUCUUGGACAAUGGGCGCAAGCCUGAUCCAGCCAUGCCGCGUGAGUGAAGAAGGCCUUCGGGUUGUAAAGCUCUUUUACCAGGGACGAUAAUGACGGUACCUGGAGAAUAAGCCCCGGCUAACUUCGUGCCAGCAGCCGCGGUAA
rnacentral:rRNA from 1 species